rnacentral:rRNA from 1 species
GAUGAACGCUAGCGGGAGGCCUAACACAUGCAAGCCGAGCGGGAUUCGAGACUAGCUUGCUAGUCUUAAUGAGAGCGGCGUACGGGUGCGGAACACGUGUGCAACCUGCCUUUAUCUGGGAGAUAGCCUUUCGAAAGGAAGAUUAAUAUCCCAUAAUAUAAUGAUUGGCAUCAAUUAUUAUUGAAAGCUCCGGCGGAUAGAGAUGGGCACGCGCAAGAUUAGAUAGUUGGUGAGGUAACGGCUCACCAAGUCGAUGAUCUUUAGGGGGCCUGAGAGGGUGAUCCCCCACACUGGUACUGAGACACGGACCAGACUCCUACGGGAGGCAGCAGUGAGGAAUAUUGGACAAUGGGUGAAAGCCUGAUCCAGCCAUCCCGCGUGAAGGAUUAAGGACCUAUGGUUUGUAAACUUCUUUUCUACAGGGAUAAACCUACUCUCGUGAGAGUAGCUGAAGGUACUGUAGGAAUAAGCACCGGCUAACUCCGUGCCAGCCGCCGCAGUAA